rnacentral:misc_RNA from 1 species
GCCAGGCUGGUGCAUCUGCAGUUGACCGAACCAGGUUAGCUUUAAAGGCCUUCACUGACCAGAAAAGACGGUUUUUCCCUCAUCUUGAAGAUGAAAAUGGGUCAAAUAACGAGCCUGCGCUGAAGAAGCCUUGUUUUUCUCAUGGAGUGACAGAUGUCAAACAAAAUGAGCUUAAUGAUUCUAGAUCACUCCCAGAUAUUCUAUCCUGUAUGGAAAAGGAAGUGCCGGAGCUUAAGAUUUUCACUUAUGAAAGGUUGGACUGGUUAAAACAAGCUUCAGCCCUUCCCUCUCAAGCAAAUGAGAAUUCAAUAGGAGCAUUGAAAGAACAUAGCUAUCAUAGUCCUAGGAUGAGCCCCGGAUCACUUGGUGCUACUCCCACAGAUAAAGCUGGUGUGAUUGAGUUGGUCAUUCCUUCGGUCUUUAGAGCCGUAGUAUCACUGCAUCCAGUUGGUUCUGUUGAACCAGAUGCUGUUGCUUUCUUUUCUCCUGAUGAGAGAGGCA